UUGAGGAGGUCUUCAAAGUACUCUGCCCACCGGCCCACAAUGUCCCGAGUAGAGGUCAGCUGUUAUGUUCCGGGGUUCUCUGGUUCUCUUGGUGGGGUUUUUUCCUGUGCACCUUUUCCACCUCUUACCACCAGAUGGCGACAGGUUCCGGUUGGAGUGCGGUGGUGUCAUCAUCAUCCACAGCUGUCAUCGAUUACCCUCAUUAGCGGAGCAUACUUUAGGAGUUGACCGCCAGUCCAGCGUCGCCUGAGUGUUUGCCAGUCACGGUACCUCUGAGCCCCCUUGAGCCCUGUCUCUGUGUUCCUCGUUACCUUGAGCCUUCCAGUGAUCCUCUUUGUGUUUCUCUGUUGCCUUCAGGUGAUCCCUUUGACACUCUGGACCCGCUGACUGGAUCCUGGCAGUUUUCCUGGUUUCAGAACCUCCCUCGUGACGCCGUGGAAAGUACCCACUGGUUGCCCGAGUUCCUAGACUCACCUCUCCAUUGUUUUGCAAGUAUCUCCUGGAUCCCACGGCUGGCGGUCGAACCACUCCUCUGUGUCUCUGUUGCACCCGAGCCUACCUGUCCGUUCUCCGCCGCACUUCUCCAUUUUUCCUGGACCCACUAAGAGACCGAUACCCUGGACAUACUCAGUUACCCUCCAAGAUUCCGAUCCAACCACCACAAUGAACCACUGCAGCCCGUUACCGUUGAUUCCCUGGACCAGACCACCUUGACACUUUCUGAUAAUUGUGUAAUCUUAAUAAAUCACUUAAACUGA